AACGAACGCUGGCGGCAUGCCUAACACAUGCAAGUCGAACGAGAACUUCGGGUCUAGUGGCGCACGGGUGCGUAACGCGUGGGAACCUGCCCUUAGGUUCGGAAUAACUCCACGAAAGGGGUGCUAAUACCGGAUAAUGUCUUCGGACCAAAGAUUUAUCGCCUUUGGAUGGGCCCGCGUUGGAUUAGCUAGUUGGUAGGGUAAAAGCCUACCAAGGCGACGAUCCAUAGCUGGUCUGAGAGGAUGAUCAGCCACACUGGGACUGAGGCACGGCCCAGACUCCUACGGGAGGCAGCAGUGGGGAAUAUUGGACAAUGGGCGAAAGCCUGAUCCAGCAAUGCCGCGUGAGUGAUGAAGGCCUUAGGGUUGUAAAGCUCUUUUACCCGGGAUGAUAAUGACAGUACCGGGAGAAUAAGCUCCGGCUAACUCCGUG
rnacentral:rRNA from 1 species